rnacentral:rRNA from 1 species
UACAAAGGGGGCUAGCGUUGCUCGGAAUUACUGGGCGUAAAGCGCACGUAGGCGGCUUCUUAAGUCGGUGGUGAAAUCCUGGAGCUCAACUCCAGAACUGCCUUCGAUACUGGGAAGCUCGAGUCCGGGAGAGGUGAGUGGAACUGCGAGUGUAGAGGUGAAAUUCGUAGAUAUUCGCAAGAACACCAGUGGCGAAGGCGGCUCACUGGCCCGGUACUGACGCUGAGGUGCGAAAGCGUGGGGAGCAAACAGG